CAGCAAGGACAGCAAGAAUCGCACGCUGUGAACGGCGUAGUAUGCCUGAAGCCAAGCUGCAUCGGUGCCACACGCUUUGUAUAUCAAGCCUUCGUCAGCGCUCGGGCAGAUUUGACCACCGCAGCUUUGGCAGAGAGAGCAAUCAAUGGCGUCGAAGACGUGGUCACUCUAUUCUGCGUGGUUUCUCUUAGCGGUUAUCGUGGCCAUGAGCACUGUUGGUGCAGAAGGGUCAAAGUUACUUAUUCCAUCAAGGCCAAAGUGUAAACAGGGAGAACAUUCAGGAUGUAUGAAACCUCCCGGUAGUAUGUGCGGCGAGGACACAUGCAACGUGAAAAAGCGCGGUAAUUUUUGCACUUAUGAAUGUCUAAUGGGCUGCGUGUGUAACAAAGGCCUGUAUCGUCACUUGUCGGACGGGAAGUGCGUUGCCCAAAGUGAAUGCAAUGCCUAAUCUCACCGACGAUGACGUCAUGCGGAUACGGCGCAGUACUAAACGACAGCAGCUGCAUUUCCCAGAUUUUUCCCGAUGCCUCGUGAUUCCAGAGCCACGAUCUUGAAGAAGUCACGUCGAAGGGACAGUCUGGCUGUUAUCUGACCGUUCUAAAACACGGGAAAAGAACAGAACAAAAACAAAUAAAACAUGCUCUUCAUUA